rnacentral:rRNA from 1 species
UACGGGGGGUGCGAGCGUUGUCCGGAAUCACUGGGCGUAAAGGGCGCGUAGGUGGCUUUGUAAGUUUGCGGUGAAAGCCCGGGGCUCAACCCCGGGUCUGCCGUGGAUACUGCAAGGCUUGAGUACUGUAGAGGCAGGUAGAAUAUCGGGUGUAGCGGUGGAAUGCGUAGAGAUCCGAUAGAAGACCGGUGGCGAAGGCGGCCUGCCGGGCAGUAACUGACACUGAGGCGCGACAGCGUGGGGAGCAAACAGG